rnacentral:misc_RNA from 1 species
AAGUCGUAACAAGGUUUCCGUAGGUGAACCUGCGGAAGGAUCAUUAAAUGGUAUCAUAGACUGCAUAUGCAAGUAUGUCAAUCUAUUACUAUAAACCAUCCUGAGUACCUUUCCAUGUUGCUUCCGCGAGGCAGUCACUUUGGUGGCCGUUUGCUCCGGACCCCCCCCCAUCCCUUUCACAGGUUUGGGAGACCCGGUGUGGGCGAGUUUCCUCGCGAAAGGUUUACCACAAAUCAAUUUAUAUUUAUUUAUUUUGUGUAAAACGUCUGAACAGAAUUUUUUACAAAAUUUUAAAAACUUUCAACAACGGAUCUCUUGGUUCUC